CCCACAUCAUGGCGGACGAGCAACCAUCUGUAACUUCACUUCCAGGGAAUUUGAGUCCCUCCGCUGGCCGCUGCACAUAACAUGCACACAAAUGGAGUCCAGAUACACACGCAGGCAAAACACCCAGACACAUAAAAUUGAAUUACAAAGUCACCCAAGGCUCAGGGAACAUUUUAGAAUAGAGGGCAGAAAGAGUUUGCUCUGAAGAGCAUGUCUCCUUGGAAUGCCAGAAGAUAGAUCCAUGCAGUCUCGCCACUCAACCACCCAAACAGGAGCUGAACAGGACAGCAGUAGACAUGCUAAUGGGGACAAGGAAAAGCCCACGAGGCCUCAACCCUACACAGAGAACUGCAGGCCACUGAGGAAAGCCGAGAUCAGGAGAAGCAGCCUUCCCCAGGGAAGAGCACGCCAACUGCUUAUCCAAUACCAAAUGGUCAGCCCUGAACACAUACGGACAAGUAACACUCACACACUGAGCGGGUUGUAUUUGGGAACAUGCGUGUAUGUAACACCUGCAUGUCACAACUAAAGACCAAAGAGAACAGGAGUUUGAAAGGCGAGGGAUUAUGGGAAGGUUUGGAAGGAAGAGAAUGGAUACAUGAUAUCAUCUCAAAACCACCAUAUACUCAUUCAUAAAUUUCUUCAGUUAUCCAUGUAUCCAUUCAACUGUCUGCCCAUCUAUGCAUUUCUCUAUAUAUUAAUUUACCGAUGAGUCUCCCCACAUGGCCUUCUCUCCUGUCUCUCACCUAUCCCUUCACGUCAGUACGUUUAGAUGCACAUCAGUCGACUCCUUCAUUCCCUGAUCCACCUGGCCACUGAACUGACAGAACAUUUGUGCUGGGCAACAUUCUAGAUGCUUGGGGACUGGGGGGAGAGGGAGGGAGACUUCAACAAGUGUCCGGUGGAGGGUUACUCCAUAGUGUAAACACCGUGAAGGAAUGUGAGAAGUGGGGCAGGGUGAGGGGCCAUUCUCCCCCCCCCCCCGCCCCCAGGGUGGUCAGGCAUGUGGUGGUGGGUUCAAGGUGUCCACAUCUGGGAUAUAUCUCUCUCUCCAAGGAAGUGUCACACAGGAGAGAUUCGGAGGUGAGGGAGUGAGCGCCACGAGUGUCCAAGGUUGGCGCAGAAAUGGAAGGCCCUUCCUGAAAGGAAGGCUGCUGCCUUGGGGGAAGUGGGAGGAGCAGGUGCGGGGAGCCUUGGGAUUGGAGCUGAUCAAGGAAGGAACUGGACAAAAGGUGUCAGCGGUGUACAGUCUGCAGGCGGUGUGGACCAGUGCCGUCUGAUGGCCCUCAGCACCAAGGGCACUCAGAGCUGUGAAGGGCAACGAUGGUCAAGAAGGACCCUGGCAGCCCUCGACUUUGUCUCGGCUGAGAACCUAACAGUGAUUGGGUGGUGAUUUGUAGAGUAUGAGAAGCGGGCAAGGCAGUCACUGAGUUUCUAAAACUAAACUUAGGCUACACUUAAAGCAGUUGGAUGUGACAGAUUUUGCAUUUGUCUCUACUGGGCUUUGAGCCAAUAUGAAGCCAAUGAGAUGGGGGGGGGGGUCAACAGACAGGGUGAGUUCCCAGCACGAGGGGGCUGGAGAGAUGUACUCUAUACGGGUCAGCCAUGUCCCCAGCCUUACAGAGGCUCACAGCCCUCUACUGUAAACCCUUCUCCACCUCUCCUCCACUAUCUAUGGGUGACGGCCAAGUCUGCCAGGUUCCAUCAUCCCCCUUGAGCGUCAUCUCAGGCAAGGAAGUGAGUGUCAUGAUUACAAGUGUACAUCACACCUAGAAAGGCUGGGGUCUCUGUGGCUCAUAGGAGCUGUGUCCUAGAAAGGUAGAUCUUGAGGUAGACCAGCAGAUGAAAGCAGCUUCAGACAGCAGUGACUGAAGUGUGGGUAGCCUAGAGGCCUUGGUGGCUUUGCAUGAGUGGGAGGCAGAGGGAAAGGGACAAAAGUGGCCCUGGAGGCUCUGCCACUAGAGCUGGGUCUGCUUGAAUCUGGAUAGUGAGCCCAGGGGGACCAGUUGCCUUGGCCUGUGGUCUAUCAGUUACCAGCCAUGGCACCCUUCCCUCUCAAAUCUUCUGACAUGUUAGUGCCUCCUUCCCAGGUUGACAGAACACUCAGGAUACACAUGGCUCUAAGCACCAAAUGCCCUGUCACUAGGUGGCCUCCCUGGCCGCGGUGGCCAGCGUGCUGCAGUCAUGGGACCUGAGCCUCACAGAAGCUAUGCUCAAGAACAUGGAGGCAGAGCAGCAGCGCCGUGCUCAGGAGGCCCAGAAGCACAAGGAGAACGAGGCCAAGCGCAUCAACAUCAAGGUGCAGCAGCUGGCUAAGGAGCAGCAGAAGUGUCAAAAGGAGGUGAUCUGUGACCCAGGCCUCCCUGCAGGAAGGAGAGCCACGGGGAGGGCCUGAGAGAUCGGGGAGGGGGUGAGUUGCUGGGGUCUGUAAAGCCUCUCUGCCACCAGCUCCAGCAGGCCUACUGUGAGCUCAAUCGGAGGAUCAUGGAACAUGACAAGUGUGAGAGGAAGUUCAUGGGCAAUACCGAACUCACACUACAGGUGGGGCCCUUACAGACAUUGUGCUCCCCACAUCUCCCCAUGAUGCUCCCUGCGUCAGCCUGGGGGCUCCCCUUCCAAGGAAAAUUUCAGGCAUCUCUGCCCUCCAAACCUUCCUGGGGGCAUGGAUAGAGC
rnacentral:lncRNA from 1 species